ensembl:snRNA U6 U6 spliceosomal RNA
GUGCUUGCUUCGGCAGCACAUAUACUAAAAUUGGAGCAAUACAGAGAUUAGCAUGACCCCUGCGCAAGGAUGACACGCAAAUUCGCGAAGCGUUCCAUAUUUUU